UACGUAGGGUGCGAGCGUUAAUCGGAAUUACUGGGCGUAAAGCGUGCGCAGGCGGUUUCACAAGCUCGAUGUGAAAGCCCCGGGCUUAACCUGGGAAUGGCAUUGAGGACUGUGGAGCUCGAGUGCGGCAGAGGGAGAUGGAAUUCCACGUGUAGCAGUGAAUGCGUAGAGAUGUGGAGGAACACCGAUGGCGAAGGCAGCCUCCUGGGCCGACACUGACGCUCAUGCACGAAAGCGUGGGGAGCAAACAG
rnacentral:rRNA from 1 species